ensembl:lncRNA
UUAACUUCAGAAAUCUCCAUCUGUUCUGUGUUUUAGUUGAGAUGUGAUGGGGAACAUUGGCGAUGCUCUUUGAUCAUUACAUUACAAUAUGCCUUACUACUCUGACAGUUAGAUGACAUUUACAAGGACAAAUUGAUCAUGCAGUUUUAACCUGGUGAAAUAGAAUAUUUUUUAAUAUCAAAUAUCUUUGAUAUAUCUGAAAUAUAGCUUUGAGUCCUAAAAAUGGCAAAUUGCAAUUUAACCAGUUAACCAUACCUCACCAAUGUGAUCUCACCCUAUAUAUAUCAUACUGCUGUGUUUCUAUGGUGUUUUUUACUUGGGCAAUCCGGAAUGAAAAGGAAGGAUCUGCAGGACCUGAAGGAAUCAGCCUGUGACCUGACAGAGAUAGAGCCAACCAACUCAUUGUGCUCAACAAUGACAGCCAUGAGAACCUGAGUGCCUUCCUGGGGCCUGCUCUACACUGAGAAACGGCAGUGGCAACAAGCCAUGUCCGACUUUGAAGCGGGAUCAAACUCGACAGCGCUGGCCCCAGUGAACCUGGCUUGCUGAAGGUUGGGAAAAUAUCCUCAGUGGUUGGUGGAUACCCACAUUUUACCAGCCCCUCCUAUUUUGUUCCAGGCCCAUUUCUCUUCUAUGCUGUACCCCACCCCGCUUUCACCUCUAGCGUUCAGAUUGUUUCUUCUAGAGCUGAAACACACUAAAAUAAAUAUGAAUGUACCAGCCAAUGCCAAAAUCUACCAGCAUUUGGCAAGUGGCUGGUGUUC